GAACGAACGCUGGCGGCAUGCCUACCACAUGCAAGUCGAACGAGACCUUCGGGUCUAGUGGCGCCCGGGUGCGUAACGCGUGGGAACCUGCCCUUAGGUUCGGAAUAACUCCCCGAAAGGGGUGCUAAUACCGGAUAAUGUCUUCGGUCCAAAGAUUUAUCGCCUUUGGAUGGGCCCGCGUUGGAUUAGCUCGUUGGUAGGGUAAAAGCCUACCAAGGCGACGAUCCAUAGCUGGUCUGAGAGGAUGAUCAGCCACACUGGGACUGAGACACGGCCCAGACUCCUACGGGAGGCAGCAGUGGGGAAUAUUGGACAAUGGGCGAAAGCCUGAUCCAGCAAUGCCGCGUGAGUGAUGAAGGCCUUAGGGUUGUAAAGCUCUUUUACCCGGGAUGAUAAUGACAGUACCGGGAGAAUAAGCUCCGGCUAACUCCGUG
rnacentral:rRNA from 1 species